UACGUAGGGUGCAAGCGUUGUCCGGAAUUAUUGGGCGUAAAGAGCUCGUAGGCGGCUUGUCACGUCGACUGUGAAAACCCGGGGCUCAACUCCGGGCCUGCAGUCGAUACGGGCUGGCUUGGGUGCGGUAGGGGAGACUGGAAUUCCUGGUGUAGCGGUGAAAUGCGCAGAUAUCAGGAGGAACACCGGUGGCGAAGGCGGGUCUCUGGGCCGUAACUGACGCUGAGGAGCGAAAGCGUGGGGAGCGAACAGG
rnacentral:rRNA from 1 species